AUACGUAGGGGGCGAGCGUUGUCCGGAAUGAUUGGGCGUAAAGGGGGCGUAGGCGGCCCGGUAAGUCUGGAGUGAAAGUCCUGUUUUUAAGAUGGGAAUUGCUUUGGAUACUGUCGGGCUUGAGUGCAGGAGAGGGAAGUGGAAUUCCCAGUGUAGCGGUGAAAUGCGUAGAGAUUGGGAGGAACACCAGUGGCGAAGGCGACUUACUGGACUGUAACUGACGCUGAGGCGCGAAAGUGUGGGGAGCAAACAGGAUUAGAUACCCUGGUAGUCCACACUGUAAACGAUGAAUGCUAGGUGUAGGGGGUAUCGACCCCUUCUGUGCCGCAGUCAACACAAUAAGCAUUCCGCCUGGGGAGUACGGCCGCAAGGUUGAAACUCAAAGGAAUUGACGGGG
rnacentral:rRNA from 1 species